rnacentral:rRNA from 1 species
AUAACUGGCUAGUGGCAGCCAAGCGUUCAUAGCAACGUUGCUUUUUGAUCCUUCGAUGUCGGCUCUUCCUAUCAUUGCGAAGCAGAAUUUGCCAAGCGUCGGAUUGUUCACCCGCCAAUAGGAAACGUGAGCUGGGUUUAGACCGUCGUGAGACAGGUU